rnacentral:rRNA from 1 species
UGGGGAAUUUUGGACAAUGGGGGAACCCUGAUCCAGCCAUCCCGCGUGUGCGAUGAAGGCCUUCGGGUUGUAAAGCACUUUUUGGCAGGAAAGAAACGUCGCGGGUUAAUACCCCGCGAAACUGACGGUACCUGCAGAAUAAGCACCGGCUAACUACGUGCCAGCAGCCGCGGUAAUACGUAGGGUGCAAGCGUUAAUCGGAAUUACUGGGCGUAAAGCGUGCGCAGGCGGUUCGGAAAGAAAGAUGUGAAAUCCCAGAGCUUAACUUUGGGAACUGCAUUUUUAACUACCGGGCUAGAGUGUGUCAGAGGGAGGUGGAAUUCCGCGUGUAGCAGUGAAAUGCGUAGAUAUGCGGAGGAACACCGAUGGCGAAGGCAGCCUCCUGGGAUAACACUGACGCUCAUGCACGAAAGCGUGGGGAGCAAACAGGAUUAGAUACCCUGGUAGUCCACGCCCUAAACGAUGUCAACUAGCUGUUGGGGCCUUCGGGCCUUGGUAGCGCAGCUAACGCGUGAAGUUGG